AAACUAUUCACAGUUUCUCUUUUCUUUUUUUUUGUUCCUUCUUUUAAAGUCUAUCUCUCUCUCCCACCAUUAUUAUCUGCUGAUCGAUGUUGUUAGAUCUGAGCUCUAUUCAAAUCUGAAUCCUUUCGAUCUCUUUUCUUAUUACAUCACAGCCAUCUAGGGUUUUAAGCCAAGCUAUAUAUAUAUAUAUAUAUAUAUAUAUAACCCAUCGUAAACAGAACUCGUCUGCCUCUCAAUCUCAAUACCAAUAAAUAUCACCACCUUCCUUCUCUCCCAUCACUAUUCCAUCACAUACAUACUUCUUUUUGUCUCUCUCCGUGUAUAGUACAUACAAUUUUAUGAGAGGGUCUCCUUAAAGAACACUGGAAACAGACUGGAUCUUUAAACAUUUUUUAGUUCCUUUUCAUGAGGGUUUGACAAAGAGUUUCUUGCAGACUUCUUUGGCAUUCUGUCCACCUCCUUCUAUACAUAUCUGCAUGUGUGUGGAAGAAGGAGGUGGGUAUACUGCCAAUAGAGAUCUGUUAGGGUUUCUUCGUAAAACCCUCUUGAUCUAUACAUAACUUUAUCAAUAUCUUGAAUCUGACGAUCUUGUUUAGUAUUUUGGCGCUGGCGUACGAGAUUCGAUGAUCUGGCGUGUGUAACCUUUGGACUAUAUCGUAAGAAGAUUGACUAGUGUGCGGUUUUAAUGUUCCGUCUUCUAGAAAAAGGUUAAAAACACUAAAGAAAAAAGAAGAGAAGGACCCAGAAUUUCAAAAAGGUAAUCAAGAUUUUGUUUUACUUUGAGAAAUGGUAAUGUGGGAAAGGAGAGCAUCUUGUUUUGAAGUCUACGAUGUUAUUAUGAUGUUCCCUUGUUACGUUCUAUUUGAAGUCGAAGAAACAGUAGUAGAGAUUAUGUGUACUCCUUCAUUUGGUAUGAUUUCUGACCUCUAUAUAUAUACAAAGUUCAUGAAUAGCUUGCUUUAAUUAUUUUGAUCAGGAGUAUUUGUUUGAGUUUCCACUAAUUUGUUCAUUGAUCAUAGUUAUUUGUUAUCUCUAGGAAAAACACGCAAGUCAUACAUAUUUAUUUAUAUUUUUGGGUAUAUGCAUGUAUCACAUUUCAUGAUAGCUAAUUACAAUGCUGGUGAGUAAAUGGAUAUAAUUUUGUUCCUUACGUAUAUUCCUUGAUUUAUGGAACAAAUUAAGUAUAAAUCCGUACCAAGUAAAAUAUUGAUCUACUAAGUUAAACAAAAAAAAAAAGAAAGAAAAAAUAUCAAAGUAAUGAAAUUAACAUUGAACUUCGUCUGAUUGACCAAUAAGUCUCUAUUGUCAGUGAGACCAAAUUUACUGAGAUCUAAUAAGUUUGGUUUCAGCCUUUCAGGUUUUGCGUGAGUACUAUUAGAUCAUAAAUUUUCACACUUGUAUUUCAAUGUUCUAGAUAAUCAGCUGUGCAGCAAACAUGGUUUCUAAGUAUAACGAGGUUUUCAAUUAAUAAAUAAAAAAAAAGUAUAUCUAUAUCUCAAAUUUGUUUUCCACUAUCAUUCUAUCAAGGCACGAAGAGUUUACUAGUUUCGAUGGAGCUCCAACAUGAAAGAGGCUCUACUGAUCAUAAAAUUUCAUUUGGCACGAAGGUGGGCAAUGAAUAUCCAGAGCCUGUAGAAACUCGUACAUGUAUAAUCAGAGGAUGAAGAAUGUGGUGAUAAUAUCAUAGAGAGUACUACUCACUUACCAAGCCACAUGAAUCCCAAAUCAUUAAUCUAUGUUGUCUCAUGACUCUCAUCUUCUAUAAAUGUUAUGUUGUAAAUGAGUAUCAUGUAACAAGUUUGCGGAUUUAAUAAUCUAUAUAUACAUUUUCAGAAACAUUUAUGAAAAAAUUCCUCAAGUUCCAACU